UCUCCGUAGGUGAACCCGCGGAGGGAUCAUUACAGAGUUCUCGCCCUCGCGGGUAGAUCUCCCACCCACUGUUAUCGUUACUGUGUUGCUUUGGCGGGCCGCCGGGCCCCGCUCGGCCGCCGGCUCCGGCUGGCGCGCGCCCGCCAGAGGCCCAGCAAACUCUGAAUGUUAGUGUCGUCUGAGUACUAUAUAAUAGUUAAAACUUUCAACAACGGAUCUCUUGGUUCUC
rnacentral:misc_RNA from 1 species